rnacentral:rRNA from 1 species
AUUGAACGCUGGCGGAAUGCUUUACACAUGCAAGUCGAACGGUAGGGGGGGGCAACCCCCUUGAGAGUGGCGAACGGGUGAGUAAUAUAUCGGAACGUGCCCAGUCGUGGGGAUAACGUAGCGAAAGCUACGCUAAUACCGCAUACGAUCUAUGGAUGAAAGCGGGGGAUCGCAAGACCUCGCGCGAUUGGAGCGGCCGAUAUCAGAUUAGGUAGUUGGUGAGGUAAAGGCUCACCAAGCCGACGAUCUGUAGCUGGUCUGAGAGGACGACCAGCCACACUGGGACUGAGACACGGCCCAGACUCCUACGGGAGGCAGCAGUGGGGAAUUUUUGGGACAAUGGGCGCAAGCCUGAUCCAGCAAUGCCGCGUGCAGGAUGAAGGCCUUCGGUUGUAACUG